rnacentral:rRNA from 1 species
GAUGAACGCUGGCGGCGUGCCUAAUACAUGCAAGUCGAGCGAAUGGAUUGAGAGCUUGCUCUUAUGAAGUUAGCGGCGGACGGGUGAGUAACACGUGGGUCACCUGCCCAUAAGACUGGGAUAACUCCGGGAAACCGGGGCUAAUACCGGAUAACAUUUUGAACCGCAUGGAUCGAAAUUGAAAGGCGGCUCUGGCUGUCACUUAUGGAUGGACCCGCGUCGGAUUAGCUAGUUGGUGAGGUGACGGCUCACCAAGGCAACGAUGCGUAGCCGACCUGAGAGGGUGGUCGGCCGCACUGGGACGGAGACACGGUCCAGACUCCUACGGGAGGGAGCAGUAGGGAAUCUUCCGCAAUGGACGAAAGUCUGCAGGAGCAACGCCGCGUGAGUGAUGAAGGCUUUCGGGUCGUAAAACUCUGUUGUUAGGGAAGAACAAGUGCUAGUUGAAUAAGCUGGCACCUUGACGGUACCCAACCAGAAAGCCACGGCUAACUACGUGCCAGCCGCCGCUGUAA